rnacentral:tRNA from 1 species
UAGCUCAGUUGGUAGAGAGCUUGCCUAGCAUGCAUGAAGCCCUGGGUUUGAUUCCCAG